AGGGUUCGAUUCUGGCUCAGGAUGAACGCUAGCGGCAGGCUUAACACAUGCAAGUCGAGGGGCAGCGUGGAGUAGCAAUACUCUGACGGCGACCGGCGAAAGGGUGAGUAACGCGUGAGCAACAUGCCCGGUACCGGGGGAUAGUCGAUGGAAACGUCGUGUAAUACCCCGUAACAACAGAGGCCGCAUGACCUUUGUUUAAGAGAUUUAUCGCUACCGGAUUGGCUCGCGUCCCAUUAGGCAGUUGGCGGGGUAACGGCCCACCAAACCGACGAUGGGUAGGGGUUCUGAGAGGAAGGUCCCCCACAUUGGAACUGAGACACGGUCCAGACUCCUACGGGAGGCAGCAGUGAGGAAUAUUGGACAAUGGCCGAGAGGCUGAUCCAGCCAUGCCGCGUGCCGGGAGGACGGCCCUAUGGGUUGUAAACCGCUUUUGUUGGAGAGCAAUAAGGUCCACGUGUGGAUCGAUGAGAGUAUCCAGCGAAUAAGCAUCGGCUAACUCCGUGCCAGCCGCGGC
rnacentral:rRNA from 1 species